UUAUUCAUUGAGAUGGACUGACUGGAGC
rnacentral:piRNA from 1 species